rnacentral:sRNA from 1 species
UUAACAGCCCCCAAAGCCAAAGUCCUCUGCUUCCUCAACAAAACAGGUUCGGUGAGGGUAUACAACACAUAAGCAUCCCCCACACUGCUCAAUCAAUAUGCCUCAACCCUGACCUGAAAGAAUAUCUCUAAGGGGAAAGAUAUUUGUUAAAUUUCUUUUCCAAUUAAUUUGACAGCUCUG